rnacentral:rRNA from 1 species
AGUGAACGCUGGCGGUAGGCCUAACACAUGCAAGUCGAACGGCAGCACAGUAAGAGCUUGCUCUUACGGGUGGCGAGUGGCGGACGGGUGAGGAAUACAUCGGCAUCUACUUUUUCGUGGGGGAUAACGUAGGGAAACUUACGCUAAUACCGCAUACGACCUACGGGUGAAAGCAGGGGAUCUUCUGACCUUGCGCGAUUGAAUGAGCCGAUGUCGGCUUAGCUAGUUGGCGGGGUAAAGGCCCACCAAGGCGACUAUCCGUAGCUGGUCUGAGAGGAUGAUCGGCCACACUGGAGCUGAGACACGGUCCAGACGCCUACGGGACGCAGCAGUGUGGAAUAUUAGGCAGAGGGCGCGAGCCUGAUCCAGCCAUACCGCGUGGGUGAAGAAGGCCUUCGGGUUGUAAAGCCCUUUUGUUGGGAAAGAAAAGCAGCAGGUUAAGACCCCGCUGUUCUGACGGUACCCAAAGAAUAAGCACCGGCUAACUUCGUG